ACAGGGCUGACUCCCCAUGCCGCCGCGGCUCCCACCCAACCGGAACCAAUCCCGCCCGCGCCGCCGCGGCGAUCCCCAAUCCGGCGACGACGGCGACGGCAACAUCACCCGUGUUCUUCCUCCUCUCCGGUCGCUGCAGAGGAGCCACCGUGGUGGGGCAGCAGAGGACCGCCGCGGGCUGGAGCCCUUCUCGUCUCCACGACCAGACCAAGCACCGCCGCCCGCUGGAUCCCCGUCUCAUCCCCUCUCCAGUCGCUGUGGAGGACCGCCGCGUCCAGCCACCCUCCCUCUCUCCUCGACGGCGCUCGAAACCCUAGCUGGCCCCGCUCUUCCACCCAUAGCCAUGGCCAUGGCAAGCCCGCAGUCAUAGGAGGUGCAGCAGAGGAAGGAAGGAGGCCAUGGGGAGAGAAAUUCAAGAGGAGGGCCAUGGAGAAGCCUGCUAGUUAGUGCCCACGCAUGCCACGGAAGGAAGGUCCUUUCCUCGAUCCAGUCACUCCACGGAGAAGCUGCUGUUCGUGUUAGGUACAGCGGCCAGAGGAGGUGGAGCAGCAGGCCGACAUCCAUCUUCACCUCCCACCCAACGCCCGGACCGCCCCUUGCAGCGGACAUGAUCUGAUGCAUGUCUUCUCCAAGCUGCCGCUUGAUGUCAACUUCAUCGGCCACACUAGCAACAUCGGAUGGAAGGAGUAGGUUUCAGAGGGCGAAGCCAGUCAUCAUUGACCUGGGGCUCUACUUGAAGAAGGCGGACGUGUUUUGGAUGCCACAGUGUUGGACCGUGCCAACAACCUUCAAGCUCUUAACUGAUAAUAAGCCAUCAGUCUCUAAACACUAGUUCCACCAUCAUUUUGCUUCUGUAAAAGCAGCCAGAAGAUCUGAUGCAUGUCUUCUCCAAGCUGCCGCUUGAUCUCAACUUCAUCGGCCACACCAGCAACAUCGGAUGGAAGGAGUAGGUGUUUCCUAGCCUGAAGGUGCUUGUUGGAAACAAAGUGGAUAAGAGAUGGCUGAAUGUAUAUGCUUGGUCUGGGAGGAAAGUGAGAGAGCUGUCGCGAAAAGGAAUGCUUUGACCUUUGGCAGGGAUGGAUGUUUAUUUCAGGAGCGCAGUGCCAAAACCAACAUGGAUAUGGAGCAGUGCUUUGAGGAGCUCCUACUGAAGCUGCACAGUCAAGAUUUAGGACCUUAACCAACUCAUACAGAGGGGUGCAAGGGAUCAUUAUUUUGCAGUCGCCCUCCAUGGAUGUCAUUGAUGAGGUACAUGCGGUAACGCACGCCUGAGCUCGAUGAGGACAUCAUCAAGUUUGACCCCAACAUCGAUAGCGACAAUGACAGCCUGCAGAAGGUUGCUCUGCCUCCCACCAGUAGGUGACUGAACAUGACGGUGGAGUUUUUCCUGUCACCGGCAACUCUGCAUCAGUAGUAGAUUGGGGACGCUUGGCCGCCCCCUCGUCUCCGCCAUGGUUGUCCUCCUCUUAUCCACAAAUGUCCAUGGCUAAAAUUAGCUGGACAGGGAAGAUUUGGACUUUGACCAGAUCAUGCUAUAGAGGGGUGAAAGGGGUUGUUAUGGGAGGGCAUUGGUAAAGGAAAAAAAUGAGAAAACUUGGAACUCGUGGUUCUUAUAGGCUGAGGGAACCUGAUAAGUUCAAGGGCCGGUUGGAGUUUUCUCUAAAGUUGAAGGGGCUCGACAUUGAGACCAUCCAGCAGUCUGUACACAGUGUGAUGAUCUGUGCUCCCAUGACUGCCUUCUGGGCUACAACUAAGGUGCACAAGUGGUUGUUUGCUGUGCGCGGGGAAGAAGGAGACCAGCAUCACCAAUGAGUCCGUCAUAGGUGCACAAGGGCCAUUUGCUGUGCGCUGGUGCGCGUGCGCCCAACAUCACCGGUUAGUCUGUCGGACUGCGCCGACGCUCAUCCCGACGCCUCUCGCCCUGCCUCUCCUCCUCCUGUGGCUUCUUCAACUCCUACAUUGCCAAGCUUGCUCCCCGGAAGGUGCUGACAAGCUUCUGAAUCAAGGCUGCAGACUACAAGUGCAAGAUAUGCUAAUAUUCUGGUAAUCUGUGUGUGCACCGGGGAGAAGGUGACCAACACCACCAAUGAGUCCAUUGGAUUGUGCCAGCGCUCACUCGGGCGACGAUGCGGCCAUGGUGGAGGGUGGCCUUCGACGCCGACCCUGCCAGUGCCGAUGCCAUGGACCUCUUCGAGGUGGACAAGAGACCAUUUGCUGUGCGCGGGGAAGAAGGCGCCCAACAUCACCAAUGAGUCCGUCAUAGAUGCGGAUGCACGGCAGUGACAGUUUGGUGCCAUUGAGAUUGAUGAUGCCGACGUCGUUACCCCCAAAAGUGGGAAGGUGCCGAAGAGCCGAGACAUGGAAGUAUUAUUGUGUAAAAAGGCAAGAUGAGCGGGACUUGUGUUUUUCUCUGUUGGCCGGUAGCUGUGGAAGUGUGCCAAAUGAUAUAGCUGGUGAUAGUUAUUCUUGUACAUAAAAUAAAAAUGGAUGUGUUGCCUACUUGUGCUUUGCUUGUCGCUCAAUA